rnacentral:tRNA from 1 species
GCCCAGGUGGCGGAAUGGUAGACGCGGCGGACUUAAAAUCCGUUUCCUGUUGAAGGAGUGGGGGUUCGAGUCCCUUCCUGGGCACCA